GGGAAAGUAGCUCAGUAGUAGAGUGCUUGCCUUGCAUGCAUGAGGCCCUGGGUUCGAUUCCUCAGCACCA
rnacentral:tRNA from 1 species